GUUCCAAUGUUGUAAUGGUUAUCACAUCAUACUUUGACCCUGAUAAUCUGAGUUCGAUUCUCAGUGGGACCU
rnacentral:tRNA from 1 species